UACGAAGGGGGCUAGCGUUGCUCGGAAUCACUGGGCGUAAAGGGCGCGUAGGCGGCCAUUCAAGUCGGGGGUGAAAGCCCAGGGCUCAACCCUGGAAUUGCCUUCGAUACUGUUUGGCUAGAGACCGGAAGAGGUAAGUGGAACUGCGAGUGUAGAGGUGAAAUUCGUAGAUAUUUGCAAGAACACCAGUGGCGAAGGCGGCUUACUGGUCCGGUUCUGACGCUGAGGCGCGAAAGCGUGGGGAGCAAACAGG
rnacentral:rRNA from 1 species